GUCCCUGUAGCAGAAUGGAUAGCGCGUUGGAUUUCUACUCCAAAGGUCUUUGGUUCGAAGCCCAACAGGGAUG